CGGCGUGUAGCUCAGUCUGGUAGAGCGCUCGCUUUGGGAGCGAGAGGUUUCGGAGGUUCAAAUCCUUUCACGCCGACCA
rnacentral:tRNA from 1 species